rnacentral:rRNA from 1 species
GACGAACGCUGGCGGCGUGCUUAACACAUGCAAGUCGAACGGAAAGGCCUGCUUUCCCUUGUGGAUUGCGGGUACUCGAGUGGCGAACGGGUGAGUAACACGUGAGUGAUCUGCCCCCAACUUGUGUAUAAGCCUGGGAAACUGGGUCUAAUUCCCGACAGGACUGCAGGGUGGUGCCUGUGGUGGAAAACGAUUUUCUAGUGGUUGGGGAUGAGCUCGCGGCCUAUCAGCUUGUUGGUGGGGUAAUGGCCUACCAAGGCGGCGACGGGUAGCCGGCCUUAGAGGGUGGACGGCCACAUUGGACCUGAGAUACGGCGAAGGCGACUACGGGAGGAAGCAGUGGGGAAGAUGCAGCAAGGGGCGGAAGACUGAUGCAGGGACGCCGAGUGGGGGAUGACGGCCUUCGGGUUGUAAACUCCUUUCGACAGAGAGGAAGCCACCUGGUUGGAAGGGUGGUGACGGUAGUGGUAGAAGAAGCACCGGCUAACUACGUG